rnacentral:rRNA from 1 species
CCGCACGCGCGCUACACUGAUGAAGUCAGCGAGUUUAUAACCUUAGCCGGAAGGUUUGGGUAAACUUUUGAAACUUCAUCGUGCUGGGGAUAGAGCAUUGUAAUUAUUGCUCUUCAACGAGGAAUUCCUAGUAAGCGCAAGUCAUCAGCUUGCGUUGAUUACGU